rnacentral:rRNA from 1 species
GUAGGUGGCGAGCGUUAUCCGGAAUGAUUGGGCGUAAAGGGUGCGCAGGCGGUUGUAUAAGUCUGAAGUAAAAGACAUCGGCUCAACCGGUGUAAGCUUUGGAAACUGUGUAACUAGAGUGCAGGAGAGGGCAGUGGAAUUCCAUGUGUAGCGGUAAAAUGCGUAGAUAUAUGGAGGAACACCAGUGGCGAAGGCGGCUGCCUGGCCUGUAACUGACGCUGAGGCACGAAAGCGUGGGGAGCAAA